GGAAGUAAAAGUCGUAACAAGGUUUCCGUAGGUGAACCUGCGGAAGGAUCAUUACCGAGUGAGGGCCCUCUGGGUCCAACCUCCCACCCGUGUUUAUUUACCUUGUUGCUUCGGCGGGCCCGCCUUAACUGGCCGCCGGGGGGCUUACGCCCCCGGGCCCGCGCCCGCCGAAGACACCCUCGAACUCUGUCUGAAGAUUGUAGUCUGAGUAUAAAUAUAAAUUAUUUAAAACUUUCAACAACGGAUCUCUUGGUUCCGGCAUCGAUGAAGAACGCAGCGAAAUGCGAUACGUAAUGUGAAUUGCAAAUUCAGUGAAUCAUCGAGUCUUUGAACGCACAUUGCGCCCCCUGGUAUUCCGGGGGGCAUGCCUGUCCGAGCGUCAUUUCUGCCCUCAAGCACGGCUUGUGUGUUGGGCCCCGUCCUCCGAUUCCGGGGGACGGGCCCGAAAGGCAGCGGCGGCACCGAGUCCGGUCCUCGAGCGUAUGGGGCUUUGUCACCCGCUCUGUAGGCCCGGCCGGCGCUUGCCGAUCAACCCAAAUUUUUAUCCAGGUUGACCUCGGAUCAGGUAGGGAUACCCGCUGAACUUAAGCAUAUCAAUAAGCGGAGGA
rnacentral:misc_RNA from 1 species